CGGGACACGUGGUAUCCUGUCUGAAUAUGGGGGGACCAUCCUCCAAGGCUAAAUACUCCUGACUGACCGAUAGUGAACCAGUACCGUGAGGGAAAGGCGAAAAGAACCCCGGCGAGGGGAGUGAAAAAGAACCUGAAACCGUGUACGUACAAGCAGUGGGAGCACGCUUAGGCGUGUGACUGCGUACCUUUUGUAUAAUGGGUCAGCGACUUAUAUUCUGUAGCAAGGUUAACCGAAUAGGGGAGCCGAAGGGAAACCGAGUCUUAACUGGGCGUUAAGUUGCAGGGUAUAGACCCGAAACCCGGUGAUCUAGCCAUGGGCAGGUUGAAGGUUGGGUAACACUAACUGGAGGACCGAACCGACUAAUGUUGAAAAAUUAGCGGAUGACUUGUGGCUGGGGGUGAAAGGCCAAUCAAACCGGGAGAUAGCUGGUUCUCCCCGAAAGCUAUUUAGGUAGCGCCUCGUGAAUUCAUCUCCGGGGGUAGAGCACUGUUUCGGCAAGGGGGUCAUCCCGACUUACCAACCCGAUGCAAACUGCGAAUACCGGAGAAUGUUAUCACGGGAGACACACGGCGGGUGCUAACGUCCGUCGUGAAGAGGGAAACAACCCAGACCGCCAGCUAAGGUCCCAAAGUCAUGGUUAAGUGGGAAACGAUGUGGGAAGGCCCAGACAGCCAGGAUGUUGGCUUAGAAGCAGCCAUCAUUUAAAGAAAGCGUAAUAGCUCACUGGUCGAGUCGGCCUGCGCGGAAGAUGUAACGGGGCUAAACCAUGCACCGAAGCUGCGGCAGCGACGCUUAUGCGUUGUUGGGUAGGGGAGCGUUCUGUAAGCCUGUGAAGGUGUACUGUGAGG
rnacentral:rRNA from 2 species